rnacentral:lncRNA from 1 species
AAUAUUUUUUAUAUAUAAUGAUUUUAAUAUAAUAUCGCUAAUAAUUAUUUUUACGAUUAAAUUUAAACACAUAUAAAGUGAUUUGUCCCUAAAAUAAUUAAUUUCACUACUUCCUUUAUUUUUAAUUUUUCAUUCAAUUCAACCGUUAAACUAAACAGACCAAAUAGAAUUAGACGUGAUUGCAGUAAUACUUGGCCCUUCAAAAAGGUGUAAGCAAAGUCGUCUCAUCAUCUCACAUGUUGCAAACCAUAUCAGAAGAAAACAAUAGACAUAUGCGUAAUAAUAAACAAAGACAACUUGUCCCUAUAAGAAGACCCUUUUUCUUUUUAUCUAUUUGCCAUUAGACUGUCUCUUUGGUCUUCACAAUUCAUACUCGUAUGAUUUGUCCAAUUGUGCUCCUGAAACAGAUAUGAAAAGUCAGACGGUCAAAUGCCAAAAUAAAAAAUAAUAAAAAAUCACAAAUGGGUCCAAUAAAAUAGUAGUAUUCUGCUAUUAACUUAAUCAGUUUGAUUACUAUGAUUAAUCUCGUGGAUCGUCAAACAUGACCUUUUUCUUGUUUAUUAGGAGAAAAAAAAUUAUUGUUUAGUUUCAGUCUAAACCCAUGUUGGCCGCUGUCUAUAUAAUCAUCCUCCUAUCUAAUAUACUCGUAAGCUAUCUUCAUCACAAAUUCAUUUCUCAAAUCAGCUUAGAGGUUUAUCCUUGCCUCUCCGACUGUAAUUAACCUGUUUUAAGUUGAGAAAUGGAUGUUUACAAGAGAGGUUUCAUAUCUGAAACUUCAAGAAAUGAAGAAGAGAUGGAGCUAAGGAAAGGUCCAUGGACUGAAGAAGAGGACUCCAUGCUUAAGGCGCAUGUCAAUAUCCACGGCGAAGGUCGCUGGAACGCUGUUGCUCGCUUAUCAGGUUAAUAUAUAUAGCGUAGUUUCUUUCCCUGGUUAUUGAAACAAAUUUGGUUUUAGCUUUUAUUCGUAAUUUCUCAGAGUAUGAAAUGAAAUGUGCGCAGGAUUGAGAAGAACCGGAAAAAGCUGCAGAUUGAGAUGGCUGAACUAUAUGCGACCAGAAAUCAAACGAGGAAACAUCAGCCUCGAAGAGCAGCUAUUGAUUCUUGAACUCCAUUCUCGCUGGGGCAACAGGUUUUUUGCUGGCUUUCCUCCUUCCUGCAAUUCAAUAAACAUAAGAAUGAUCUUAGGCUAAUCUUCUUUUGAAACUGUGAAGGUGGUCGAAAAUUGCACAACACUUGCCUGGAAGAACAGACAAUGAAAUAAAGAAUUAUUGGAGAACAAGAGUCCAGAAGCAGGCCAAGCAGCUUAACUGUGACGUUAAUAGCAAACAAUUCAAGGACGCCAUGCGUUACGUUUGGAUCCCCCGUUUAGUUGAACGGAUCCGUGCUUCAUCCGAGUCUCCCUCGAGUCAACCUUCUACCACCACCAAAACCACCUACAAUGAUUGUAUCAGCAACAUAAGCAGCAGUCAAAUGAGCUACGCAAAUGCGAGUGGGUCGGUCCAGGUUGACCCAAGUCUUCUGCCCGAAUUAUCAGGCACGUCAUCAGACUCCCUUGACACCCAAGUCUCUUCCGUUUCGGACCUGACCGAUUGUUACAAUCCACAGAGCCUUUCAAACUACUUACACAAGGGGUUAGGUUUGGAAAAGGAGGGAGCGGCCACAUGGGGCAGAGAUGAAGAAUUCCAGGCGACAGAGGAGCAUAGCAAUGGUUUGUUGGUUGGUGGUGGGGAGUCAUCGAUGG